UACGUAGGGUGCAAGCGUUGUCCGGAAUUAUUGGGCGUAAAGCGCACGUAGGCGGGUCGUUAAGUCAGGGGUGAAAUCCCGGAGCUCAACUCCGGAACUGCCUUUGAUACUGGCGACCUUGAGGCUGGAAGAGGUUAGUGGAAUUCCCAGUGUAGAGGUGAAAUUCGUAGAUAUUGGGAAGAACACCAGUGGCGAAGGCGGCUAACUGGUCCAGAUCUGACGCUGAGGUGCGAAAGCGUGGGGAGCAAACAGG
rnacentral:rRNA from 1 species